rnacentral:rRNA from 1 species
GGGGUCGCGUCCUAUCAGCUUGUUGGCGGGGUGAUGGCCUGCCAAGGCUUCGACGGGUAGCCGGCCUGAGAGGGCGACCGGCCACAUUGGGACUGAGAUACGGCCCAGACUCCUACGGGAGGCAGCAGUGGGGAAUAUUGCACAAUGGGCGAAAGCCUGAUGCAGCGACGCCGCGUGCGGGAUGACGGCCUUCGGGUUGUAAACCGCUUUUGAUUGGGAGCAAGCGAGAGUGAGUGUACCUUUCGAAUAAGCACCGGCUAACUACGUGCCAGCAGCCGCGGUAAUACGUAGGGUGCAAGCGUUAUCCGGAUUUAUUGGGCGUAAAGAGCUCGUAGGCGGUUCGUCGCGUCUGGUGUGAAAGUCCAUCGCUUAACGGUGGAUCGGCGCCGGGUACGGGCGGACUGGAGUGCGGUAGGGGAGACUGGAAUUCC